rnacentral:rRNA from 1 species
ACAUAGCACUCUGCAAACACGAAAGUGGACGUAUAGGGUGUGAUGCCUGCCCGGUGCUGGAAGGUUAAUUGAUGGGGUUAGCGUAAGCGAAGCUCUUGAUCGAAGCCCCAGUAAACGGCGGCCGUAACUAUAACGGUCCUAAGGUAGCGAAAUUCCUUGUCGGGUAAGUUCCGACCUGCACGAAUGGCAUAAUGAUGGCGGCGCUGUCUCCAGCAGAGGCUCAGUGAAAUCGAAAUCGCUGUGAAGAUGCAGUGUACCCGCGGCUAGACGGAAAGACCCCGUGAACCUUUACUGCAGCUUGACACUGAACUUUGACCUUACUUGUGUAGGAUAGGUGGGAGGCUUUGAAGCUGGAACGCUAGUUCCAGUGGAGCCGUCCUUGAAAUACCACCCUGGUAAUGUUGAGGUUCUAACUCUGUCCCGUGAUCCGGGACGAGGACCGUGUCUGGUGGGUAGUUUGACUGGGGCGGUCUCCUCCUAAAGAGUAACGGAGGAGUACGAAGGUGCGCUCAGCGUGGUCGGAAAUCACGCGUAGAGUAUAAAGGCAAAAGCGCGCUUAACUGCGAGACCCACAAGUCGAGCAGGUACGAAAGUAGGUCUUAGUGAUCCGGUGGUUCUGUAUGGAAGGGCCAUCGCUCAACGGAUAAAAGGUACUCUGGGGAUAACAGGCUGAUACCGCCCAAGAGUUCAUAUCGACGGCGGUGUUUGGCACCUCGAUGUCGGCUCAUCUCAUCCUGGGGCUGAAGCAGGUCCCAAGGGUAUGGCUGUUCGCCAUUUAAAGAGGUACGCGAGCUGGGUUUAGAACGUCGUGAGACAGUUCGGUCCCUAUCUACCGUGGGCGCUGGAAAUUUGAGAGGAUCUGCUCCUAGUACGAGAGGACCAGAGUGGACGAACCUCUGGUGUACCGGUUGUGACGCCAGUCGCAUCGCCGGGUAGCUAUGUUCGGAAGGGAUAACCGCUGAAAGCAUCUAAGCGGGAAGCCUACCUCAAGAUAAGAUUUCCCUAGGACUUUAUGUCCUCUAAAGAGCCGUUCGAGACUAGGACGUUGAUAGGUUGGAUGUGGAAGCAUAGUGAUAUGUGAAGCUGACCAAUACUAAUUGCUCGUGAGGCUUGACUAUACAACACCCAAGCAGUUG